rnacentral:rRNA from 2 species
UGGGGGAUAUUGCACAAUGGGCGAAAGCCUGAUGCAGCGACGCCGCGUGGGGGAUGAAGGCUUUCGGGUUGUAAACCUCUUUCGCUAUCGAACAAGGCCCGCUUAGGGUGGGUUGAGGGUAGGUGGAGAAGAAGCGCCGGCUAACUACGUGCCAGCAGCCGCGGUAAUACGUAGGGCGCGAGCGUUGUCCGGAAUUAUUGGGCGUAAAGGGCUUGUAGGCGGCUUGUUGCACCUGCUGUGAAAACGCGGGGCUUAACUUCGCGCGUGCAGUGGGUACGGGCAGGCUUGAGUGUGGUAGGGGUGACUGGAAUUCCAGGUGUAGCGGUGGAAUGCGCAGAUAUCUGGAGGAACACCGAUGGCGAAGGCAGGUCACUGGGCCAUUACUGACGCUGAGGAGCGAAAGCAUGGGUAGCGAACAGG